AUUAGUAGUUGCCCACUUCUAUGGAAAUUUGGCGGGCCUCUUCGGCUAUAGCCUCAAACAAAAAUGAAACUUAUAAAGGUAAAAUAAAAAUAUAAGCCGCGGAAGCUGAUUCAAGUGCACAUGAACUGAUCAACGAUCACAGUAGUAAUCGUUGACCAUUCGCAUGUGCGUAGCUCGAGCGACAAACGUUUGUUUCGGGCAAAACCAGAGACGAGAGCAUGCUCUACUCGUACUAGUUUCGCCGUCGAUUUUUCAAAUUAGAUUUCCAGAAACAGGUUGGUCACUCGAAAACGCACCUACCUAACCAGAGACUGUGCCAACCUGCCCGGCCCUACCUACUUAUAAUAAGCAGACACACCAGAAAGUAUACUCUACCUAUGCUACCUAGCCCUAUAUUUAAAAAAUGGCAAAACAAGCACACCAACACACUCGCUCCAUGAUUCUCACACAAACGCUCAGGCGCAAAGGACCUAUACUAGAGAGGACGUCCCGGGUCGCCUCCAACACCCGAGCUUAGCAUACAACAUGCACGCUCUAAUUUACGUACCAUUUUCCUGAAAUCGACUGACGAAGGCUAGUAACCAUUGCGCGAAACUUGAUAAAACACGCGUAAAGAAAUUGUAUUGUUAAAUUAAAUCAACGAGAUCGGAGGGCAUCCAAUUUCUCCACUACUAUGGAAUUUUUCAUACUAACUAUGAAAAUGCCAAGAUUUAUGCAUGAUUAAGUGACAGGAGGAACAGAAAUGCAUGCGACUCACCGUUAGAAGCAGAGGAUCAGAAGCAUUAUGCCAUCAAAUCGCCGCGCUAUCCCAGCCAAUGUCACCAGGAAGACUAACAUCAAACAGGAACCGUUGAAAAUCCAAUGAUAGAAAUAGGGAUUGUGCAAAAUCUGUUACAGAACAAAAUACAAUGAGUGAUUGCUAAUUAUUUGGAAAGAAAGUAACUUUAGAAGAUUCUAACCAUCCAAAAUUUCAAUCAAACAAAAAGUAUUCAAAGAAAAAUAUACAGAACAAAUAUAAUUGAAGUACGAUACGUAAAGAUACUUACAUUCUUGGCUUUUGAG